CUGAUUGAAGAUGGCAAAUGUUAACCUAUGGAGUCAAUUAGUAAAUAUGUAAAACUAGUCCCGCAUAGCAGAGGGAGGCCUCCAAGAACCCUUACACCUUUCUGUUGAGCUCAAAGGCACCAUCCAGAUCUCUUCCUUCCUGAAUCGCAAGUAACUUGAUGAAGAUAACCACAGCGUCUAUGGAGAGAAGGUGGAAAAUGAGGCCGUACAGGUAGACAAGGGGAGAACGUGAUAUCACCCCAAUGCCAUGCUAAGGCGUUGGAAUUUCAGCCUGUAAGUCAUGGAGCACUGUGGAAACAUAGACUCUUCAGGUGCCUUUCUGGCUGCUCCUUACCUCCUAUGCUGGAACCUAUUCAUCUCCCUGGCCUCCUAAGACCAGCACUUAUCACCUCCUUUCACCCCGAUCCUCUCCACAAGCAAAAUUGCCUUGCAGCCAAUCAAUUCUGUGUGGAAAAUGCUUGCGUUGAAAACAUCUACGGCAAAUAUGCUUAGCGUGAAACUACCUAGAAUCAAAUAGAUGACCUUGAAUCCGUUUAUUCUUUCUACUAUGUGCCAGACACAGUGCCCUUACAUUGUGUUCAGUGGUUGAAAAAAAAAACAAGAAAACAAAAACGUUCUACAUAGCACCUGGCCUCAUGGAGAUGGCCCCCAAGUUAGGAUUCUAAUAUAUUAGUUGUUGGGACCUGCUUAUAGCAGAUUUUAAACCUGUAUAAUUUGAUUUCGGUUUUCAGAGUAUGUUAGUGUGAACGUGGGAGGUACAAAGAACAUAUAUUAUCUCACUGUACAGAAAAACAAUCUAAGGAACAGGGAAGAUAAAUAUUUUCCUCAAGCUUUCAAGUAUCUAAUAAAAAGGAGAGCUAAGGACUAGAGCCAAGGUUUGCUGACCAGUACGCUUCCCUCUACACCUGGUGGAGAUUAAAGUAGAAAGACUCGCUGAUCCUAACCUAGCAGAAAACUGGAGAGGAGGCAUUUGUUGGAUGGAAAUGUCUCUGCAGAUGCAGCCAGGGAAUCAGGCGCGGCCCAGAUGCGAGGUCAGAGUGGUGCUAACACAGGCAGGAAAGGUUUUAUUUGUGUCACUCCCUCCCCCAAAUCUCAUUCCCUGUUCGUGUCCUGGGAGCCUGCAUGCAAACAGAGCUUCCAGCCUCCUACCGCGCAAGCGCCCCCGCAGGUGUCCGCGUGGGGCUCCUCGUGCAGCCUCUCCGAAGCCGCGCUCUCGGCCACAACCGCGGCGUUGGAACAGCUCGAGCAGGGGAUGGGGGUCCCCUCCGAGGAAGCAGCGCCCUCUCAGCGAGCGCUGCUGCCGGGACUCCCGGAGCAGAAAGGUCUGGGACAAAGGGUGCCACCUAGGAGAGAGAGAGAUCAUGCCCCUCUAGCCGUGUCAUGAAGAGAAUGUAGGGAUCCGCAGUCGGUGAGGACCACGCUGAGGGCAGGCAUUCCGAACGCUAGUUCUUCUUUGAGUUUCAAUUUCGUACCAUUUUCUCUUAUUUGCUCCAAAAUACAGUCCUGCGGGUGUUUUGCUACUGAGGAAACAGCCUGUGAAAGAAUAAAUGAUACAGGCAAGGUCACAAAGUAACCGGGAAAAUGCCACAAAGUCUGAAUCACGUGUGGAUAAAAAAGGAAGCAAGAAUGUUGGGGUUUGUGAUUGCAGGAUUCUGUACAAUGAUGUUAGAGAAGACCCGUGAAAGAUGCUGGAUGACCCAUACUAUAUUCACAAAUGUCCUAAGUUCCUGCAUUGCACUGAUUGGUCUGCUUCUGAUAUCACUUGAAUUAGCAAUAUUUAGUUCAAGUAAGAAACGUGUUAUUUGGCCACAGAAAUGCGGUAAACUCCUUUCAGAAUAUUUGUGGCUAUUCACAUCGUUGCAGUUCUUGGUGUCAUGUGUAGUGAUGCAUUGGAUACUAAAAGCAAAAUAUAGAAGAUAAUAAAGAUGUGGUGCAUGGCAGAAGGUGAUCCUUUUCCUACAUGUUAAAGAACCAUCAUGACCUCAGGCAAGGAGGAAAGUUUAGUGGCAAAUGAAGAACUCCCUUUUGUUCAAGAGCCUCCUUGGAAAAUACAUUUUAAUUAUGUCCAUCUCAGUAUUUCCUUUUCCCCAUUUCAUUAAUAAAAAUUUAAAUCAA